rnacentral:sRNA from 1 species
CCGGCGGCCGGAGGUUCGAUCUCCCCCACGGCCACCCCCAGGGCACUGUACCGCGGAGGGCAGUACCAACUCCGCUGUGAGGGAUGGCCGCGGUCAGGCGGCCCCUGAGCAGA